AGCUCGAGUUUCUCUUCAUUGUCGCAUAAAUCUUUCGCCUUUUACUAAAGAUUACCGUGGAGGGAGCUUUUGCGAGUGACCUGUAUUUUUGGGGGCUCUGCUCACAGCAGAGCU
ensembl:snRNA U5 U5 spliceosomal RNA